CCUACGGGGGGCAGCAGUGAGGAAUAUUGGUCAAUGGCCGGAAGGCUGAACCAGCCAAGCCGCGUGAAGGACGAAGGUGCCAAGCAUUGUAAACUUCUUUUGUCAAGGGACAAAAUCAGGCUCGAGAGCCUGACCGAGGGUACUUGAAGAAAAAGCAUCGGCUAACUCGGUGCCAGCAGCCGCGGUAAUCCGGAGGAUGCGAGCGUUAUCCGGAUUUAUUGGGUUUAAAGGGUGCGUAGGGGGACUGUUAAGUCAGCGGUAAAAGCCCGGGGCUAAACCCCGGAGUGCCGUUGAAACUGGGUGGCUUGAGAUGUCGAGAGGUAUGCGGAAUGCGCAGUGUAGCGGUGAAAUGCUUAGAUAUUGCGCAGAACUCCGAUUGCGAAGGCAGCAUACCGGCGGCGAUCUGACGCUGAGGCACGAAAGCGUGGGUAUCGAACAGGAUUAGAUACCCCAGUAGUC
rnacentral:rRNA from 1 species